GUAGGUGGCAAGCGUUGUCCGGAAUUAUUGGGCGUAAAGCGCGCGCAGGUGGUUCUUUAAGUCUGAUGUGAAAGCCCCCGGGCUCAACCGGGGAGGGUCAUUGGAAACUGGGGGAACUUGAGUGCAGGAGAGGAAAGUGGAAUUCCACGUGUAGCGGUGAAAUGCGUAGAUAUGUGGAGGAACACCAGUGGCGAAGGCGACUUUUUGGCCUGUAUCUGACACUGAGGCGCGAAAGCGUGGGGAGCAAACAGGAUUAGAUACCCUGGUAGUCCACGCCGUAAACGAUGAGUGCUAAGUGUUGGGGGGUUUCCGCCCCUCAGUGCUGCAGCUAACGCAUUGAGCACUCCGCCUGGGGAGUACGGUCGCAAAGACUG
rnacentral:rRNA from 1 species